UCCUCCCCUGUUUCCUCCGAACCCCUUUCAGCCUCCUCCGUUGCUUCCUCCCAUACUGCCACCACCAGCUCCACUUAUUCCAAACCCAUUUCAGCCUCCUCCAGCUCCACUUAUUCCAGCCUCCUCCAGCACCACCGGCUCCACUUAUUCCAAACCCUUUUCAGCCUCCUCCCGCACCACCGGCUCCACUUAUUCCAAACCCUUUCCAGCCUCCUCCCGCACCUCCAGCUCCAUUUAUCCCGAACCCCUUCCAGCCUCCUCCGGCACCUCCAGCACCUCCAGCACCAUGGUUUCAUCUUCCACCGAUUCCAGGACUAACUCCACCACCAUCGCCACCACCUCCACCUCCACCAACCUUCCCGUUUCCUCUUCCCCCAUUCCAUUUCCCACCUGUACCGCCUUUCCCUGGUAUCCCCCCUGCCUC
rnacentral:lncRNA from 1 species